UACAGAGGGUGCGAGCGUUAAUCGGAAUUACUGGGCGUAAAGCGCACGUAGUCGGCUUUGCAAGUCGGGUGUGAAAUCCCCGGGCUCAACCUGGGAACUGCAUCCGAGACUGCAUUGCUAGAGUAUGGGAGAGGGAAGCGGAAUUUCUGGUGUAGCAGUGAAAUGCGUAGAGAUCGGGAGGAACACCAGUGGCGAAGGCGGCCUUCUGGACCAAUACUGACGCUCAUGCACGAAAGCGUGGGGAGCAAACAGG
rnacentral:rRNA from 1 species